UGUGAAGGUCCGCAAGGCAGCCACC
rnacentral:misc_RNA from 1 species